CGUCGGUACACACAACUUUCCGCUCCUCCGAGAGGGUGGGGUAGGGAGCCCUCCAGCCCGGCUUCACACAACUGCAAAUCGAAACCAGAUCCCGCGGUAUCCGAGUCCGAUUUGAACCCCGCUAGCUCCGUGCAAACAGACGAAGGCGAGGCUUAGGGGCGCACAGGAGUCGGACCCCAGAGGUGGGAAGAGCCGCCGCCGCAGCCGGACUUACCUGCCUCCGGUUCCUGUGGGAGCUCAGCGGGGCCGCGAAGGGGGCUGUGAAGGCGCCGCAGGUUGCUGGCAGGACAGGU
rnacentral:lncRNA from 1 species